UCUGUUUUCGUAUUUAUUGCAUCUUUUGCAUUUCAAUAGCCUAUACUUUGCUGUUGCAUAUUGUGCAUUUAUAUGGGUUUCCAUGAUUCCUUUUGCAUGUUUACACCUCUACUUCCACUCUUCUAUAGAUAUUUUUUUCUCAGAUUUAGGCCCUAUCUUCUUUCAGAUGAAUUAUUUUUAAUGAAAUUACCUCUGUAUUUCAGACCAUUGAGAUUCUUUUCAGCAAAAAGAUAUUAUUGAACAUGGAGGGCCAUACUCCAAUCUUCUAUGCUGGUGUUUUGGAUUCUCUGGCAGUGGAAUUGAAAGCGACAAAGGAUUUCUCCAAGUUAUAUGCUGGCAUUGCAAUACUUGGGUAUAUUGCUUCCGUUCCAGAAUCCGUCAACACCUGAGCCUUUUCUCAUCUUCUCACUUUCCUGGGCCAUAGAUAUCCCAAGAUCCGGAAGGCUUCUGCUGAACAAAUUUACCUUGUCCUCCUGCAAAAUGGAGAGCUUGUGACAGAGGAUAAGAUGGAGAAAGCGCUUGAAAUUAUUUCCGAAACUUGCUGGGAAGGUGAUAUAGAAGAAGCAAAACAGCGACGAUUAGAGUUGCAUGAUAUGGCUGGUCUAGAAACAGGGCUGCUUCCCAAAAUUGGGAAUGGAGCAUCAAACAGGGAUGGUGAGAAGAGGCCAACAGCCAGUGAUGAGAAUGCAUCAUACUCUUCCUUAGUUGGGUCAACUGGGUUCUGAUUGACUUGAAUUAAACCAUCCUUCAUGUUUGUUGUACAUUUUCAUCACUUCUCUUCACCUUAGACAUCUACCUCUCUAGCUUUUCCUGCAUGUCGCACAAUUUGCGUGACAUAAGUCUUGUUUGGAUAUACUUAUUGGAAGCGCAAGGUAUUUUUUUUUUGUG